UGAAAGAGUAUUGAAUAUGGGUCACAGGAGUGAGAAAGUAAGGAGGAGACACUUCAGUUAAGUGGACAACCCCACAAAUGUAAUCAGAAAGAUAGGAAGACUUUUUGUGUUCCCUAAGAGAUCUGCGAAGGGCAAUAUCUAGGCAAAGAAUGAGGUGGUAUGCUAGGUUCAGCACUAGGAACACAAAUAGGGAUAUAAAUAGGUGAAGAACCUAAUGUCCCAGGAUUCUGUGUAGAAGAAGAGGUUGGUGCACUAGUUUCAGAAGAAAUAUGAGGAGCAGGAGUAGGAGAUGGGACGGGAAUGUUAAUAUGAAGAGUGUCACGUGAAUCAUUAGGUUCAGAAGACAUAUGAGGAGCAGAAGUAGAAGAAGGUAUAUGAAUUUUCAUAGGAAGAGUAUCGUGUGAAUCAUUAGGUAGAGACAUUGUAGGAAAUAAAGGGGUGGCAGUGGUAGAUAUUAGAGCAAACGGAU
rnacentral:lncRNA from 1 species